rnacentral:rRNA from 1 species
AUUGAACGCUGGCGGCAUGCCUUACACAUGCAAGUCGAACGGUAACAGGUUAAGCUGACGUGUGGCGAACGGGUGAGUAAUGUAUCGGAACGUGCCCAGUCGUGGGGGAUAACUGCUCGAAAGAGCAGCUAAUACCGCAUACGACCUGAGGGUGAAAGCGGGGGAUCGCAAGCCCUCGCGCUAUUGGAGCGCCCGAUAUCAGAUUAGGUAGUUGGUGAGGUAAAGGCUCACCAAGCCGACGAUCUGUAGCUGGUCUGAGAGGACGAACAGCCACACUGGGACUGAGACACGGCCCAGACUCCUACGGGAGGCAGCAGUGGGGAAUUUUGGACAAUGGGCGCAAGCCUGAUCCAGCCAUGCCGCGUGAGGGAAGAAGGCCUUCGGGUUGUAAACCGCUUUUGUCAGGGAAGAAAAGGUUCUGGCUAAUACCUGGGACUCAUGACGGUACCUGAAGAAUAAGCACCGGCUAACUACGUG